CAUGUUCCAUAUUGGAGAAGUUAUUCUGGUGACUUUUGCACAGACGGCUUAAGCAUUGAUCUCCAGGCAAAGAAUAAAUGGAGAGUGUGAGCGGAAGUGAGUGCUCUGUGUGAAAGAAAAUCAUGGGAUUCAGGACACUACAAAGGCACACUGGGCUUCAGUUGCUGAUCGCUAUUGAUAAGCUGCUUUCCUUUUGCAGAAAAGAGACUUAAAGACUAAAGGUCGUGGCUUUCUUAUCUCACCAGUGGUCUUACAUCAAUACAGUGCCAAAUAGAACUGGUAUAAAUGUUAAACGACCCCUUUUGAAUAUCAAUAUGUGCCUUAUUAUCUAUUUUCUAUUUUUCCUAUGUUGAAUAAAC
rnacentral:lncRNA from 1 species